AUGGAGGAUGAGUUUGCAGAGCAUGCGGUUCUAUGUUAUCUGAGGGCGAGAGUCAUUUGGAGACAGACAAGCGGUUACCCUUGAGAGACGAGCACUGAUCCUUGGUUGGCUUCCUUUCUUGGCUUGAUUCGUCAGAGUGUGACUGACGGGUCGACUGCUAUUGUUGGGCAGAUAGCUUAUAUUACUUAUCAGAUUUGACUGUCUAAGAGCAGCCUCAUCUUCGAUGG
rnacentral:lncRNA from 1 species